rnacentral:rRNA from 1 species
UACGAGUGCCCCAAGCGUUAUCCGGAAUCAUUGGGCGUAAAGGGUGUGUAGGUGGUCUAGUUAGUCUUCUGUUAAAUUCUUCGGCUUAACCGGGGUCCUGCAGAGGAAACGGCUAGACUAGAGUGUGCAAGGGGUGAAUGGAACUCAUGGAGUAGGGGUGAAAUCCGUUGAUAUCAUGGGGAACACCAAAAGCGAAGGCAAUUCACUGGUGCAUUACUGACACUGAAACACGAAAGCGUGGGUAGCGAACUGG